GGGCGAGUGUCGGAACUGGUAGACGAGCAUGACUUAGGAUCAUGUGGAGCAAUCCGUGAGAGUUCAAAUCUCUCCUCGCCCACCA
rnacentral:tRNA from 1 species